rnacentral:tRNA from 1 species
GGCCGGUUAGCUCAGUUAGUUGAGCGUGGCGCUAACAACACCAAGGUCGCGAGUUUGAUUCCCGUUCGGUCC